rnacentral:rRNA from 1 species
CGCGGCCUAUCAGCUUGUUGGUGAGGUAACGGCUCACCAAGGCAUCGACGGGUAGCUGGUCUGAGAGGACGAUCAGCCACACUGGGACUGAGACACGGCCCAGACUCCUACGGGAGGCAGCAGUAGGGAAUCUUGCGCAAUGGGCGAAAGCCUGACGCAGCAACGCCGCGUGGGGGAUGAAUGCCUUCGGGUUGUAAACCCCUUUCAGCAGGGACGAAAAUGACGGUACCUGCAGAAGAAGCUCCGGCCAACUACGUGCCAGCAGCCGCGGUAAUACGUAGGGAGCGAGCGUUGUCCGGAAUUAUUGGGCGUAAAGAGCUCGUAGGCGGUUUGUCGCGUCUGCUGUGAAAAUCCGAGGCUCAACCUCGGACCUGCAGUGGGUACGGGCAAACUAGAGUGCGGUAGGGGAGAUUGGAAUUCCUGGUGUAGCGGUGGAAUGCGCAGAUAUCAGGAGGAACACCAAUGGCGAAGGCAGAUCUCUGGGCCGUAACUGACGCUGAGGAGCGAAAGCAUGGGGAGCAAACAGGAUUAGAUACCCUGGUAGUCCAUGCCGUAAACGUUGGGCACUGGGUAUGGGAUCAUAUCAACGGAUUCCGUGCCGUAGCUAACGCAUUAAGUUCCCCGCCUGGGGAGUACGG